rnacentral:rRNA from 1 species
UACGGAAGGUCCAGGCGUUAUCCGGAUUUAUUGGGUUUAAAGGGAGCGCAGGCGGCGGCGUAAGUCAGUUGUGAAAUCGUGCGGCUUAACCGUGCAAUUGCAGUUGAUACUGCGUCGCUUGAGUGCACACAGGGAUGUUGGAAUUCAUGGUGUAGCGGUGAAAUGCUUAGAUAUCAUGAAGAACUCCGAUCGCGAAGGCAUAUGUCCGGAGUGCAACUGACGCUGAGGCUCGAAAGUGUGGGUAUCAAACAGGAUUAGAAACCCCGGUAGUCCGGCACUACU